rnacentral:lncRNA from 1 species
AGGCAAGCAUUUUUCUUAUAGAAUCUUUUUAAUUUGUGGAUGUUUGGAACUAAAAACAACUAAUUCAGGGAUUAUAUUGCAGGGUAGACAAUGUGCUGGUGGUGCAGAAUCUAACGGCAAGAACAGGACUGAAGUCCCAGACGAGAAUAAAGAUGAUGGUGAGACAGAUGAUGAUGAUGAAGAUGAGGAUGAAGAUGAUGAUCAUGAUGAUGAUGGUGGUAAUGAGGAUGACUUGUCUGGUGAAGAAGGGAAUGAAAACGAAGGCGAUGAUGCAGAAGAUGAUGUCGAGGCAAAUGGCGAUGGUGGGAGUGAUGAUGAUGAUGAAGAUGACGAUGACGAUGAUGACGAUGAGGAUGGUGAUGAAGACGAUGAGGAUGACGAGGAGGAUGAAGAGGAGGACGAGGAGAUACCAGAGCCGCCUACUAAGAAG